CUCUUUCUUCGCGGACGAACACGCGCUGGGCCUGCAACGGCAGGAUCCAGGGUCCUUAACGGGAUGUGCGUUAGGGGCUUGUAGCUCAGUUGGUUAGAGCGCGCGCUUGAUAAGCGUGAGGUCGGAAGUUCAAGUCUUCCCAGGCCCACCACUUUCAUCGAGUGAGCAUUCGUCUUCUGGUUACGGGGCCAUAGCUCAGCUGGGAGAGCGCGUGCUUUGCAAGCAUGAGGUCGUCGGUUCGAUCCCGUCUGGCUCCACCAGAUGGUUUGAUCACCGAGAUCUUGACCGUCGUCCGCGAAACAUCACUUCGCAUCCUGCUAGUCUGGAUAGACAGCAGUUUGCGUGUUUUCUGACAUCGUAAAGAGGAGAUCGAUCCGAGUUGGGUCGUGCAGCAUAUCGUUGCGCGAGCCUUCAUUAUCUCCGGAUCAUUUCGGCGCUCGCUUCCAGCCGUGAGGUUGGAUGCGGGUUGUAAAUGAUCCUUUUAGCGAAGCUUGACCGCCUCGCUAUCGGAACGAUCUUACGAAGCAAGCUGGUCUUUCUAGUCAAUGUCCGGCUGCGGAUAGCGUUCAUCGAGGGCGCGUGCCGCAAGGCAAUUCUGCAGACAACAUUCUGCCGAGUGUGUGGACAUUGAUAAUGAGAGCAAUCAAGUGCCUUAAGGGUGUUCGGUGGAUGCCUUGGCGCUGAGAGGCGAUGAAGGACGUGCUACGCU
rnacentral:tRNA from 1 species